rnacentral:rRNA from 1 species
AGAUUGAACGCUGGCGGCAUGCUUUACACAUGCAAGUCGAGCGGCAGCGCGGGGGCAACCCUGGCGGCGAGCGGCGAACGGGUGAGGAACCCAUCGGAACGUGCCCCGGAGUGGGGGAUAACGCCGCGAAAGCGGCGCUAAUACCGCAUAUGCUCUGAGGAGGAAAGCGGGGGACCUGUGAGGGCCUCGCGCUCUGGGAGCGGCCGAUGUCCGAUUAGCUAGUUGGUGGGUAAUGGCUCACCAAGGCGACGAUCGGUAGCUGGUCUGAGAGAUGAUCAGCCACACGUGGACUGAGACACGGCCAGACUCCUACGGGAGCAGCAGGUGGGAAUUUUGGACAAGUGGGGGCAACCCGUGACUCCGAGCCAAGUCGCCCGCGGUGGACGGGAAGGACGGGUCCGUUCGGGUUACGUUAACCGUCGUUUUUAGGUACGGAAAGAAAAGUAAGUACGUAAGACCG